UGUACCUUGCACCACGAAGUUCACCGCCUGCCGCUCUGCCUGUGCCCGGAGCUGUGGGUCCCAAGCGCGGAUCCCUGGCAGCGGUCUCCUUCUGCCCAUGACGGACGCCACGUAGCCUGGGUCACAGGAAGGAACAGCAGUUCUGUGGAGGAUGUGCGCCCGUGAACACGUCACCUCACAGGGCGCCUCCCAGCAAUGUCAGCGUUGGGAGAGGCCCCUCUGCCUGUUCCAGCCUGAGCAGGUUGGCUGUGUUAGUAGGGGACGCAUGCGUCACCGCACCCUCCACGCCUGGCUCCCGAGCUGCUGACACGGCCUCCCUGGCAUCGUACCUACAGGUCCCAUCUUUCCGACACUGUCUGAAUGCACCUGCUUACUCAUGGGUUAUCUGCGCCCCUGGACUGCAGCUCCAGGACAGCCAGGAGCCCACGUCCCUGGCAUCAACACAGUGCUGGCACAAAUGUUUGUGGAAGAAUUCAGUGAUCAUCUGAGGAUUUCCUUACAGUGUCUGCCCAGACUACACUUCCUGGGUCAAAGACCUGCACAUGUCACGUCUGGACACGGAACACCCCACGCCCCUUCAAGGUUACGGAUGGGGAAGGGGGCCUCUGGCUCUGGGUCUUGGCUGAGCUUGGGUCCCAGCCCAGCACCACCUGCUGGCUGUGGAAAGGGGACAACCACACUGCCCAGUGAGUCCCAGCGAGCACCCCCAGUCACUUUAGGGAAAGCCACUGAGUGGGGCCUGGCUGCAGAGAGUGCCUGUGUUCCUACUGUUCGUCAGUCUGCAGUGAUCCUAGCACCACAAACUCUCA